AAAUAUGCUUCCUAUAGUUAAGAUUUCCAUCACUUAGUCCGCAUAGAAGUCUUCCUAAACAAGACACUUUUUUAUAUAUAAUAUUGAAUGAAAUUACAGUGCAAUCUGUGCAUAGUAAUAAAAUGAAGUAUAAUAACUAAUAAAAUUACCAUCUUAAUGAUUACUGAGGUCAUGAUAAUGCAGGUCAAAGAGUCAGUUGCUUAUUAUAAUGUUUUCUAAAAAAGGUAUUUAAUAUGUAUAGUUUUGCUGUAGUGACCCACUAGGCUAAACCGGUCGUCGAACAUUUGAUUUGAUUUUAAUUUCUUAAUAAUAUUUAUGAAGUGAGUAAUCUAAGCUUUCUUAUUUCUCUUUGCUUAAACUAAGAUCAUGAAGAGUUUAUUGUGUCUUGUUAUUUUGUUGAGCUAAUGUCAGGCUAAGUAAAGUUUCUAAAAGUACUUUGCGAUACAAGUGCAAAAAGUAGGAAAUUACCUUUUUGCACGUACAUUGUACAUACAAAGUCUUACAGUACAUAUGGCCCUUUUCAAUAUACGCAUGUAUAGUGCUAGUUACUGCACUAGGGCGGUAAAGUAGCACAAUAUGUAUUGUAAUAGUACAUUACGAUACAAGUGCGAAAAAUUAGAUGUAAGUUUAUUUGCAAUGCCCUAACAGGGUGCCACGUGUUUUCACACUCUAAUAUAACAACUAUUAUGUACCAUGGUUUCGCAAUAAAGAUUUCUAUUUCUAUAAAAUAGGAAAUUUAUUUAUUUAAUUAAUUAUUUAAUUAAACCUUUGGGAAACAAACAUGCAAAAACAACACACAUAGUUAAUCAGAUUACACAUCCACAAGCCAAACAGUUUCCACUAAUGAGUAAUAACAAUUAUGUUGCUCAGAAAUUAACAUCAAUAUCAAAACAUGCAAAACUCAAAUAACUCUAACUGUUGAAAACAAUAUUAACAAAUUGGCAAGUAUGCUGAAAUAUAGUAACUAAUCAAUAUUAUUAUUAGCUGUACAUUUUAUUGCAGAAACAAACUGUUGUAAUGAUAAAUGGAAUAUAUCAAUAUCAGAAAAUUUUUCAUUAUAAGUUCUACACACUCUAGCUAAGAACUUAUUUCUUGCAUAUGUAGUACGACCAAAGUUAAUUGCAAAUAGGUUUGUGGAGCGAGUUCGCCGAUCAGGACAUCGAAUUGAAAUUUUAGACAAAAGAUUGGGAGAAUCAAUAAGGCCAUGUAUGAUUUUGAACAAAAAUAUCUGAUCUCGAAUUUCUCUACGGGUUUGAAGAGAGAAAUUGUCAGGGCAAAAAGAUUUAAAUUUAUAUUUCAUUGUUCUGAUAAAUUUGUUCUGAUUUUUUUCAAUUGUGUUAAUGUGAACAUUGAAAUGAGGAUUCCAGACCGUAGUAGCGUAAUCUAAAUUGGACCUAACAAAUGCGUUAAAGAGAAGUUGCAGAGUCUUAGGGUUUGUAAAAUCCCUGCUUUGUCAGAAAAUGAAUCCCAACAUUCUGUAUGCUUUUGCUGAAAUUUUGUCAAUAUGUGAAAUAAAUUGUAGUUCGCUAUCAAGAUUUAACCCCAGGUCCUUCACUUCAGACACAACCCUUAAAUUUUUGUUGUUUAAUGAAUAAUUUAUACUCUAUCUUAUUGCGUUUUCUUGUAAAUGUAAUGGCACAGCAUUUUUCGACAUUCAAGUACAGUUCAUUCAUAGAACAAUAUAAACUCAGUCUAUCAAGAUCAGCUUGAAGUUUCAUACAAUCAUCACUUGAUUUAAUAAUGGUGUAUAUUUUAGUAUCGUCGGCAUAUAAUAAUAAGUCAGAAAAUUUGAAACGAGUGGCGAUAAAUUUAAACACGACUGAAGGGAGUGUUUUAAAUUGACACGAGUUGCGAAUUACCUAUUCGCACAUGUAUCGUACAACGUUUUACAGUACAUAAGGUACCCUUUAAAUGUUGGACACAGUAACGUAAUAUGCUAAUUUUCGCACUAGUGCGGUAAAGUAGCACCAUAUGUACUGUAAAAACUGUUUUAAUACUAUUAAUAAGUAUAGUUAGUAUAUUAAUUUUGCCAUAAUCGCAUGCAGUUAUGACUAUGGGUAUAAAUAUUGUUGAAUUUAUAUAGCCGAGUCCACACAGAGCGACCGAGGAGGCGCGUGCGUUUUCCUUGCCCGAGCGCACGUCUACACUGGCCAGUUUGUGCGUGAGAAUAUUGCCUCACGCGUAUGCUCGCUCUGUGUGGACCCGGCUAAUCAUGUAUAAAUGGCAACAGAUUUUAUUCUCUAGGCGGGCACCUGCUCCCCGCUGGCGACACCCUUGCAGAAGCUAGCAUUUUCAGAUAUAUUUAGUUUUUAAGUUUUUGGUUUGGUUUAACCGGAAUUAUUUUUACCCGACUAUGAGAAUGGGAAGGGUUAUGAUUUUAGCAGUCUACGUAUGGAUGCCGUAUAGAUGCCGGUAUGUUUUUGUUGUGUAUAAAUUACUAAUCAAUUUUGGUGAAUGUGUUUAUAGGCUCAUUUUUAUGGGGUGACAUAGACUACAUAAUAAUAUUUAACUGACUUUGGACAAGGAAGAGGUGCUUUAGUUAAGAAAAAAAUCAUAGUCGGGUAAAAGUUUUUACAAUCUUUUGCUUGUUUUCAUUCUUAUAACAAAUAUUUUAAACUUGCAUGUGCUCAUUGCCUCUGAUUGACGACUACGUUGAGUUUUCGGGUGCUGGGAACAGUGUGGCUGGCAGCACGUUUUCUGCCACUGCUGAAAAUCUCGUUGUUGUUCCAACCACCGCCACCGUUUCUGCGGCCGUGCUCAGCGAACAACCACACUUCUCCACCUCUCAUUUGUCCUCGUCUCCCUCUCCUUCUGCCAGCCCUAUACGCUCCACGCAUUCAGUACUGCCCACAAGUCCUGGACUACCCGAACGUCCCUCUCUUGCCGCCCUUUCCGCCCGCUAUGCCCGUCCCGCCCUUCUCGCUCGUUCCGCAAUAACCGCCCAACCCGCACGUCUUGUCCUGCCUGCACGUCAAGUACACAGCUCUGUGUACGUGGAUCCGCGCCCUGCACGCGUACAUCCAUACCCCACGCUACUGCGACCACAACCCCGCAACCGCACAACGGAACCGGCACCUUCGACAGCACAAUUUAAUCAUCUGCAGCAUGAGCAUGAUAAUAUUUUAAGAGUAACUAAUUUAUUUAUGAACUAAUAAUUCUAUGUUUUAAGAUCAGGUGGAGUACGAGAAACAUUGUUUAUUUAACUUGGGACAAGAAAAACAUUAGACUCUGACCACCACGCUAACUUUGCACAAACUUGGCAGUAAGAAUGCAUACAUAAAGCCUGUAAGCUCCAUACUUGACGUACCAUUCCCUACAAGUGUUUCUCUUGCCUCCAUAUUUCGCUUACCCCAUCUGACCGUAUUUGUAUUGAUAAAACAUACAAAUAAUAAAUAUAUAUAUACGCGAGCAAUCGCAAAAUCUACAUUUCGGGAUUUCUCGUAUCGUACAGUGCCGUUUAAAUAAAAUAACACCACCAACUACCGAUAAGAGGGUUAUUAUGAAACUUAUAAUUAACAUGCAUUUUAUUGAAAGGCUGGAAUUUUAUUUGUCUCGAAAUCUUGACCAUGGUCAUAUAUUUGACUGGACGGUUCACGGCAAUUUUAUUAUUACUAAUGUAUUUCAUAACACUAGACUUAUUCAAUCCUAAGUAACCUAUUAGCUUCUCAUUCGUGUGCGGUAUAUAUCAGCGUUUGGUAGUAUCAUAAUAGUAAAAUCUGUUGUUGGUUCAGUUGGUUGUUGUUAAUAGUCAAAUGUUCAUAUUUUGUGUGAGUCAGUUAUCAUAACAGAAAUAAGAUAUAAAGCUGUUAAUACCGUAAAUUGUGUAUGGAUAUGUUUGACUCAAAUUCUGUAUUCCCACAAUAAGUAUACGGGGAGCCCGUAAGAAAUCAGUGGUAUAUGAAGGCUUUCUUGUGCAACUUUAGUAUGAGCUGGGACAAGUAAAUGUAGUUAUGUAGAACAGAUAAUCUCCAUUGUGGUAGAUGGCGCUAUUUAUUAUUUGCUCUGUGAUACCACUUAGUUUCAACUUGCUAUAACAUAUUUUAUGUUGACAGGAUAUCCUGAACGAACUGAAAAUUUUUAAUGAGGCGCAGAAACAAAUAUUGAGUGUUUUGAAGGAGCGGAACGACUUGUUGGCGAAUCGUAUUAACACAUUGGAGGACGCCGAGAUUAUUGAGAACUUGGAAGACACAGUUAUAAUGGAAGAGGAAGACGUCUGAGCUAAGCGCUGUCCUCGCACCCUCCGUCAAGUUUACGUUUGCGGCCAUAUCAAAAUACACACUGUAUGUUUAUUAGGGUUCCGUACCAAAAAGGUACAAAAGGAACCCUUAUGGUGCUAUUGCUAAAUAUCUCGAGAAGUACUUAAGCUAUAGAUGUGAAAUUUGGAAUAGUAAUGAAUAACGCUGACCCAAACAUAUUGGAUGUGUAUUUAUUUUAUUUGAUUUGGAUUAAUGGAAAAUUCCCAAUAUGAAGAGGGGGCAAAAUUUCAAAGUCUAGUUAAAUGGGUCAAGUGGGGUAUCAUUUGAAAGAGCUCGAAUUGAAAAUUACAAAACAAUUUUUUAUUUUCAUAGUAAAAAAAAUUUGACUUAUGAAGGAAUAUGUGAAAAAUAAUACCAUUCCCCCCACUCUUAUCUCCGAAGUUUAAGAAUAAAAAUUGUUUUUUUUAUAUUGGUCAAGUCUUUCAUGAGAAAAUUUAAAGUUUGUACGGAACCCUCGGUAAACGAACUCGCACUUGACCGGUUUUUCUUAUUGCCCAUAAGGCCCGUCCUUAGAUAUAUGUCAAUGAUUACGGUGAUCUCGAAAAUGGCUCAAAUGAUUUCAAUUAAAUUUGCUAUAUGGGGGUUUUCGGGGCGUUUUUGAGUUUUUACCUAUUUGUUUUCCGAGCAAAAGGAAUUAAAGCUUACUGAUUUUAAAAA